CAUAUUUAAUAUUUUUUAAAAAAUGAGAGUGUUACAUCAUUAUUGUAAAUAGACAAUUAUUUACAUUAUGGAACAACAAGCACCCGCUUGCGAAACAAGCAGAUAUAUACAACAACAGACCCAUCUAAGGAGGGGUAAGAAACUCCAUAUUUGAAAACUGUAAAAGAGCUACAACAAAAAAACAAACUAAACCCAUCUAAGGAGGGGUAAGAAACUCCAUAUUUGAAAACUGUAAAAGAGCUACAACAAAAAAACAAACUAA
rnacentral:misc_RNA from 1 species